UUCACUCAUCAGAAAAUCUGUCCUUGGGGGAGCCAGGCAGCCUGUCCCCACCUGCAGUGGCUUUCUAGGUUACUUGAUCCAGGGUCUUCUGAAGAAAUGGACAGCGCAGAAGCCGCAUCUUACAUAAGGAGAUGUAUCAGACACUGCAGACUGAGCUGCAUGAAAGACGGUUUGCCACAGCACGUCUGAAAUUCUGACGACGAAAGUUCUUAAGCUCCUCAGGGAAAUGUGCCUAAAGUCUUGCUCAUACCUCCUUGGACCGACACACUCGUGUGCACAGUCGUGUGCACUGCACAGGCUGGGGUACCAGAGCAGAUGCUUCUGCACUGACUGCUCAUGUGGAAGACAGAUCCCAGAGUUAUCUUCUAUCUUCCCAGCUGGUGAAGGCAAGCCUACUGAGACCGUUGUGUUCCUUCCAUUAACAAGCAUGUAACUAAAUGUCUAAAUGCUGAUGAGUUCUGAACCCAGAAGAAAUCACUGUGAAGUAUGAGAUGGCGGACUUGCUUGAACGGUUGAGGGUAUUCACAUGUCUCUACCAAGCCUUAAAUCUACAGUUACACAAAAGACUGUGGUUGAAAUCUGAUGGCAAAGAGUAUCAUUUUGUCAGCCAUCUUCUAAUCUCACUCUUCUUCUUAUCUCACUACCCACCUGUGACAAACAUUAGGGAUAUUGGAUAAAAAAGGAGAAAGUUACUAUCUUCAAAAUAGAGUUGCAGUUUAAUUUGGUUUACUUUUGUUUCCUGUUUUUUUGUUUCCAAGAUUACAACUGAGAUUACAAUUGUUCAUGUUGUUUUUCUGCUGAACUAUGGUGAUGUCAACAGGAGCAGAAUCCACUGUCUCCAGGGAGGUACAGAAUUCAGACAAAAUGAUAUAUGGUCUAGUUAGGCAACUCAGGGCUUCUUACCAAGCUUGCCUCACAUCAACAGGAGAGUGCUAUCUGCUAGUGUUGUGAGGAUGAGCAAACACAAGGCAGCAACUCUUCUGAGAGGUGAAACCAAUUAGGGGCAACUAUUAGCUCCAGGCAAAAAGUGAAUCAUGAGAGUGUUCCUAUUUCUCUUCUUUCUAAUCACUGAAUCUAUGGAAGAACUCUGCAGGCUACCUAUACCAUCUCUAUGUUGUUUUUUGCUCUUCCCUAUGAGAUUUGAAAGGUGGAGAAAAGAGAGGAUUAGAAUUUCCCUCAGACGGAACUGAAAGAAAAAGAUCAUACUUUAUCACUAAAGUGAUCAUUAAUCUUGGCAGAAUUCCUGUCACCUUGUGAAAAGAUCAGACCGAUUAGAAAUUCUGAAAUGCAGAACUGCAUUUGGAAAAUUGAAAGCAUUAAGGUUAUGUAAGUGUAAUGAAAGUAGAAUUUGUCUUUGCAAAAUAUUCUAAAGGUGCAUUAAAUUGGCCCUGAAUUUAGAUUUGUGACCUGCUUCAGUUUUCAUCUUUAAUGAAAUAAAAUCUGGUCUGUGUUAUCCUGUUGCAUGUCUGU